UUUUCCUCAAUUUGAUUGACGUGUUUAAUUCCUUUUUUUUUCUCUUUUACUUUUUAGGAAUACAUAUCUGAUAGGGUUCACUUAACGUCUUUUAAAUAACCGGUUGAACGUGUGGUUAUCGAUGUACGAAAGCGUAUUUAUGCGGAUGUUUAAAUUAAAAUCGGGCCGUAGAUUCAAUAAAAUGCUCCACUGUAUUAGAAGUGCCGGUUAAUUGCAUCCAGUUAUUACAGGCUUUUGGAUUGAUCGUUCAUGCGUUAUUGGUUUUUUUUUCUCCUCAAAUAUCUGUUGUUGCCGUUAUAGUCGUUUGUAUAACAGACGACGGAUAAACUUUUAAUACUUUUACAGAUACCACGGUAAACGUGUACAUCGAUAAUAAUUCUGAGAAAAACUUGCAGCACAGCAGGGACAGACGGAUUGAAUUGUUAAUAGCAAUAAAUAGCAGUCAAUGAUAUCUCAUUAUUCAACUUGCUUCAUCGACGAAGGAAACGAUAGGAUCUGGAAUUACCGUAGGCGGUAUGGUCCUCAUUUGACACGAACAACCCCCGUGAUUUUCAAUUCUCAAUGAAUCGGCGAACAAACUUUAGCUUCCGUACAACAACCUGUCCCUUCAUCGCACCUCUGGAUCACCGUAUAAGAUGGAAAAAUUGAUUCGCUCGUAAGCAGAGCUCCCUCUUCCAAAAUAUCUUUUAUCCUGUACGAUCGAGACUGUGGAUCACGACACAUGAAAUAUCGGAGCACCGAUCCUGGCGUACCACUUGCACACGCAUAAGCUCGUCGUGAAAUGAAUCGUGACUUCACUCGCGGAGAUAUUUAUACACGCUGAGAAGCACGCCAUCGAUCAUUCGGUUAACGUCGUGCAUGCGUGUAGGUACGGGAAAUAUCACGGGGUUUUCUGAUUUCAAAAAAAUUCAAGCUUGUGGCGAUGAAAUCGAAGUGUAGGUAUAUCAAGGAUCGGAAGGACGGAGGAGGAAAUUAAAAAUGACUUAACAUUUCGAGUCUGAAGCGCGGGUCAUUGUCAGCGCACAUUUUUGCAUUUAUACACACAUGUGCGAAUAUACAUAUAUUGUACAUAUAUUCGUUAUGUAUGGAUGAAUUUAGUCGCAUCAGGUAGCUAGAUCGACUGAUUAUUUUACACCUGAUUGCGCAACUUUAUCGACUUACGUCAAUCCAACAAACGUACAACAUUAUUGCCAACAUUUUCUUUCCUCUUUUUCUAUAAUUCCGUUUUCUUUUUCAAAUGCAAUGCCUGUUAUACACACCCGCAAUACUCCCUCACUAUUUGCUGUAUUGAAAGACACUUGUUCAAACAGAUAAAUAAUAUCACGUACCGUAGCCCUAGUCAAUUAAUAAAGUUUGAACAAGUGACCUGUAACGUAUGAAUAUGCCAAAAUUCUCAGACGAAAUUUAAGACGUUUGAAAUUUACUUGAUCAUGAAUCGACGAGUAAUCGUCGCGCUUGUCCUCGCCAAAAAUUUUCAUCAGAGAUUCAAAAAGCAGAAAAUGCAUUCAAAUAAUGCCAUUAUUUCUUUAAAUUCUUUUUACUUUCAUGCCCGGUGGACUCGCGCGAUUAAUUUUACUGUACAGAGAGUGAAGUUCUUUGGAAAAUAAAAUCUUUGAUCUCAACCCCUGAUAGAAGUUUUCCGACAAUACACCAAUUCUAAUGCGAAUAGCACACAUCGUAGGGAUACGACGGUCCAACUACCUUUUCACGAUCAGCAUGUAAACUAGUCUUCAUUCUUUUGAUUGAAUAAAGUGCAGAGUUACUCUUCGGAGAAAGAUGAUUUUUUAUGAUUAUGAGAUGAAGAAUUGUCUACGCAGACAAUAAAUACCGUAAUGAGGUAUAAUCCGCUUUAUUUAAUUGGCCAAAAAUAAUUUCAAUUCGAAAUAUCAAGCCGUGGUCUACUCCAGUGUUCUAUAAGCAUUAGGAUCAAAGACGCCAUUUUGUAAAAUACCAAUUCUAGUAUUGCAGGUAAUCAUGUCACCCUUCUACGAAGCUCCCCAUUUUCAAAUCUAUAUCCGAAACUCGUAUUUUGACCUUUUUUCUCAUUUUCUUUCUUCUUUUCCUUUUUUUUUGAAUAUCACGGCAGCUGUGCAAAUAAUUUACAAGUAUAUACAAUACCAUUAAUUUGAUAGAAACACGUUUCACGCGUGUGUGAAUAAAUUUGAAUAAUUAACGACUAAAAAAUCGUUAACAGUUGUAAACUAUCUUACUUAUACGUGUACACAUACAACUCUAUAAAAUUAGGUUCAACGUUUCGCAAAAUGGAAACAGAAUUUCCUUCUAGUGAUUCGAAUUCUGAAUCUAUUCUCAACAGGUCGAACUUACUACAGCUGAUGUGAUACCAAACAUAACUAUAAUGAAUAAAUUUUCAUUCGAGGAUGGAAAACUCGUUUGGACUCCUCUCUCUUUGAGCAACGCGUGCCAUACCUAUACUACCCAACGAAUACAAUAUAGAUAUACGAUGACUAAGGAAAGAUACGGCUGCGGGAAAACACUCGUUGAAAUGACAAAUUUAUUCGGUAUGCGAAUGAACGUGAAGAAAUGGUUCAGACGUCAUCGCAUCCAUGUGAGGACUGACUGAGCUGUAAUAAUGACGUUUUGUACUUCUUGCGAAAAUCCCCAUCGUCGACCGAACCCAUGGAGCCAACGGUACAAGCUGGGCGCACGAUGAGAUGGAUCUUAGGAAUCAUCUGUUUGAAAAUGAUGAAAUAAUUUAUUAGGAGAAUAACAUCAUUCUACACUGGAAGCUCGUAUCCUCAGCCGAUUGACGUUUGUCUGGUCUACGUCCUCAGAAAUUAUAAUGCAAUAAUUAUUGGCGUGAUUACGGUACAUUCAUUAUAUCAAUUGUUGCCGGAUCCAUGUUGCCUAUCGAUACCUAUUUCACUGACGCGAUGAAUCCGUCACUCGACCACCGAGUAUCUUCCGGUAUCUAAAAAUAGACUUAGGUGUACAGUAAUUAUGUCUGCAAUAUUAAUAGAUUCGUAUAGUACGAUGCGCAUAGGGAUGUGACUCGAGAUAGACGCAAUGAUCAUAAACCGUGUCAGAAUUUACAUGCCUGGGAUAUUCCCUGAGGCAAAAAUAUUGUCUGCGUGCGCGCAUAAAUUUAUAAGCGUAAGAUAAUCGUGACGAUCAUAUCUGUAGCGAGGAUUAAACCCGAUCUAAAUCCUAGUUCUAACGUCGAGGUUCUGAGGAUAACCAGGUUAAUUCCCACCGUUCUAUCCCGUAACCUGGUAAGUCCCAAAUAACACAUGUAUAUCUUUUUUCAUUUGUGCGUAAAUGAUCUAAAGAUAUGCUCAACGCGUCGUCAAUUAAACAUCGAUUAUGUAAAUCGGUGCAAAGGUGUUACAACCAUAUGUUAAUUAGAUUAACUUACGAUGACAAUAUAAUACGGUCAUUGAGAAUUCAUGAACAGUACAAAUACCGAUUGUAAAAUGUAACGUGAGAAAAAAGAAACGAUAAAAAAAUAGCAGAGGCUACCUAUGGUCAUAUUUCGAAAAUUCGAUCAAUUCACCGUUAUAAUUAUCCGCUUAGUUUAUAGUAUGACGUCAAUGACUGUUUCAAUCAUAGAGUUUUACGAUCAAGAUAUCGAUUAGUUACAAGUUAUUUUUUUUUUAAUUUGAUCAUAGAUUUAUUAAAUUCUUUUUCUUUUCGUCGUUACCAUUUUGCAAUCACGAAACUUUGGUGGUGAAAUAUGGUUGAAAAUUAUGUGAAUUUUUAUCGUUAAACAAAAUUUAAAUAACGCGUGCUAAAAUUCAUUUUAUCUGUACAUUACAUUGUUAAAAUUGACCGCCGUACGCACAAAUAACUUUCCUCGUUGUACACAUUCGUUUACCUAAUUGAAAAACAGGUUUUCUACGAUAAGUAUAGGUAUGUGGCUGACAUGUAGAACUUAUAAUUUUGAAUAAUCUACCGACCAGGGAAUCCCCGAGUAUAAUUUAGAUUUUUCCCUUAUUCUCAUUUGGACCGUACAUGGCUAUAGCUAUAGGCAUACCUGAAACGAGACUGAAUUUUUUCAUUCCUUUUUUUCGUCUGAUUAAUUAAUUUUUUUUGACAAAACUGAACAAAAAAAUCGAUGAGGAUAUUUUAUAACGUAGCUACGUUUACGCGAUGAAAUAUUGACCAUAAUUGCCAGGUUUAUUUGCAGAUCCAAAAGUUAUGGGAAAAAAAAAGAAGAUUUUAGCGAUAAUCUUGUGGAUACAUAUAAAUAAUCAUACGUCUACUAUUGGUGGUUUUGUCCUCCUUAUAUUUUGCGUUGUUGAUUAGAAAAAUCAAAUCAAAUAAAUAAUCGAAUCGAUAAAGCUGGGAUUGCAGAACGAGAAUUUUUUUGUCGCAUCAAUUUUUCAACGAAGGCAAAAAGAAAAAUAUAACGAUCGUGAUAUAAGAACGGGUUGUGGGCUGCAGUUGUAUAUUACAAGUCUACCUAAUAGACAUCGUGGUUAAAUUAGUCGUUAAUCGGAUUAUUGAUGAACGCGAUUGAAGAUCACCGGCGCCAAAGAUCAUAUCUACACAUAAUUAGCAAUCCUCAGAUUUAUGAAUACGAUCAUUGGAAUACCUACUCGCGGAAAGGAAAAACAUUGUAAUAGACCAAUAGUGUAACUUUACGUUGUUAAUUUACUUCGUUCAUUUUCUAUACAUCUGGAGUUUAUCUGAAAUCGUGCCCCGACUUUGGAAAGAGAAGGGCGUAUGCGAAUAAUUCGAUGAUGCGGAAAACGGAAGAAUGAACAACCUAAUAAGGAAAAAGAAUGGGUCGUUAUUAAUUUUAAUAACAUAAAUAAAUAGGAUAGAUGAUUAAGCAUUGCUCACUACGACCGCAACGAUAUUGCAUCGUGUUUCCGAUUGCGUUGUAACAGCGACGCGCGUCACUAAUUGUUGCAAAAAUGAAAAAAAAAGGAAGAAAAACUAACAGAAUUUAUGCUCACCCCCUCUUAUAGCGAACGGGAUACUGAAUUACACGAAAAUUAUCAUGCAGUCGUCGCAUUCCGUGGUCAGAACUUCGUUGAAUCGGCAUGAAUUUUUAAUCCGAAAAUAUUCACCGCCCUCGACCAAGCCUCUUUAUAUUCUUUUUAUGAAACUUAUCGUUAUUAUGUGACACGAGAACAUUGUCGUCAAAUAAUUCGUCAUCAACCACAGAACUUCAAUUUUUUCUUUGAAUUUCGAAAAAAUGCACGCAUGUCCUGGAGUUAAAAAUAGAACGGUGAUUCGCGAAUGGGUCGAACGAUUUUAAUUGAGAAAACGGAACAAGAAAUUGAAGAGAAAGUUCAUCGGAGCAUGACAUCAUAGAAAGAAAAAAAGAGAUCGACGAUCAAGAAGGUAUCGAAAUAUACCUCAAACAGAUAAGAUUAUUGUUCUUUUUGUCAUCCAAUUUUGAUUUGUUUUGACGAAAUAUCGAAGAGGAUGGAUGUAAUAUAAAUAUCCUUGUGAACGUCUAAAACGAUCCUCCUUGAACUCGCUCGAUUCGUAUCCUCGGAUUUCAUGGUCAAAUUAUGAUUCAUAAGGUGCUACGAAAAAUGAUACCCAAUAAAGUUGCGUGCGGAGAUGAUCCUCGUUAAAAAGAUUACUCGGUGAAUCACCUUAUAGAAUUACUAUGGGGUCAGCGUAUCCCGUGGUCAAUCCGCAGGGAGAUCUCUUCGAAGUCCGAGCAGCUGGCUGCAUGGGAAAGCCCGCAGGCGUCGGACGACCAUCCAGAAUUCUGCUAGUACGAUCAUUGUUGUGAAACAAUUUUGGGAAACCCCGGAGAUCUCCUUUAUAUUUUAUAAGUUGACAUUCCCAUUGUGCUCCAGACUCUUAAGUAAUUCAUGGGAAACAGUUUUCAUCGUGACGCAAGAAGAAUCUCACAGUGUGCCACGCGUCGCUCUGUCUCUCCGCGGUUGCGUUAUAGCUUGCAAGGAAGGAUAAGCGUGGGCAAUGAUUUCCUGUUCGUGUGUCAACUGUGCAACAAUUCGGAUGUGGAGAACCGGUUGAACGAUCUUUAGAUGAAAAACUGGUGAACUUGAUCAGUUCGAGAGGAAGAAAGGAUAGUUUUUGAUCAACUCAACGCUGUUUGAAAAGGGCAGACUAUGCAUCAGCUCCCACAGCGCUUCAUGUCGGGCAAUCAGUGAUGGAGAAACGGAAAUAUGAUUUGGGCUGCAUAAAAUUAGGCGCUAAGAAGGGAUAAAGGGGUGAAAAUAAAUUGGACCAUCGAAAAUCCGAGGGCAGGAACUUACCAACCUCGGAACAACGCCGUACAGCAUCUGAAACACGAGGCUCGUCGGUGCAUCUUUAAGAUUCGCAUGUGCGGGCACCGAAUGAUAAUACAUACAUAAUUUAUCAUGUGGCCAUAGAUCAUAUACUUUCUAGAAUAAUUAAAAUGUAAAUCUGAUUGAAAACUUACGUCAUUUUCAUUAUAUCACAUUUAUUGUAAGAAUAAAUUUUUGAGAAUGUUUAAAAUUAUACUGUACAAAAUAAUGUAUCACAAUUGAUUUGAAAUCGUUGAUUUAUCAAUAAACGAAGAAGCUCCUCGAA